rnacentral:rRNA from 1 species
UUCCUACGGGGGGCUGCAGUGGGGAAUUUUGCGCAAUGGGCGAAAGCCUGACGCAGCAACGCCGCGUGGAGGAUGAAGGUUCUCUGAAUCGUAAACUCCUGUCGGCCGGGAAGAAGGGGCGGGCUCUAACUAAGCUCGUUCUUGACUGUACCGGCGGAGGAAGCCCCGGCUAACUCCGUGCCAGCAGCCGCGGUAAUACGGAGGGGGCAAGCGUUACUCGGAAUUAUUGGGCGUAAAGGGCGCGUAGGCGGUCGUGUGCGUCAGAGGUGAAAUCCCCGGGCGUAACCCGGGAACUGCCUCUGAUACGGCACGACUUGAGUCCGGGAGAGGGGAGCAGAAUUCCCAGUGUAGCGGUGAAAUGCGUAGAUAUUGGGAGGAAUACCAGUGGCGAAGGCGGCUCCCUGGACCGGUACUGACGCUGAGGCGCGAAAGCGUGGGUAGCAAACAGGAUUAGAUACCCGUGUAGUCUC